UGAGGAAUAUUGGGCAAUGCCCGCAAGGGUGACCCAGCAACGCCGCGUGGAGGAUGAAUGUCGUAAGAUUGUAAACUCCUGUUAGAGGGGAAGAAUAGUACCGGUUGGACCAGUAUAUGACUGUACCCUCAGAGAAAGCCCCGGCUAACUACGUGCCAGCAGCCGCGGUAAUACGUAGGGGGCAAGCGUUGUCCGGAUUUACUGGGUGUAAAGGGCGCGCAGGCGGGAUAAAAAGUCAGUGGUGAAAUCCUACAGCUUAACUGUAGAACUGCCUUUGAUACUUUUAUUCUUGAGUUCGGGAGAGAGAGACGGAAUUCCAGGUGUAGUGGUGAAAUACGUAGAUAUCUGGAAGAACACCAGUUGCGAAGGCGGUCUCUUGGUCCGACACUGACGCUGAGGCGCGAAAGCGUGGGGAGCAAACA
rnacentral:rRNA from 1 species